AUGACCACCGAGGCUGAGGGCUUGGGCAGGGCUGCGCUGGGCGUGGCUGGACCCCCGCCCCCGGCACUGGGCAAUGCCCAUGUCCCCGCAGCUGUUCACCCCAAACCCAACGGCCCCACGCCUGGCAGGGAGGCGGCAUGUGGGCAAGCGGACGCCCCGGGCCGGGCCCAUCUGCAGCGGUGCCCACCUCUUCGGGGAGGCCUCCUGGAUGCCUGCCUGCCCACUCCACCUGCUGCCGCUUCCAGCCCCAACACCACCCCCAGCCCUGACCCAUCAGCCCCAUUGGGGGUGCCCCUGGAGCCCCUGGUCCCGGCGUUUCUAUGGCAGCCACCACCACGGAUGCAAGUCGCCUCAAGGAACUUUAAUGAAAGCGUCAGCAGUCUUUCCCUCCCCUCCCUCUGUGGUGGGAGAGACAGCCGAGCUGGAACUCAAGACACACGGCCGCCUAGAGACCCACCACUGGCCCCAGCGUGCGGCCGGGCUCCAGACGCCGGGCCCAGGGCGGCGAGGUGGAGUCCGGCCACUGAGCCUCGUGGAAGGUCACGUCCGGCCCCCAGGCGGUCACCCGCCCACCGGCUUCGGAGAUGCCUGGGGACUCAGAGCGACCGCCGCGAAGGUGGGCCAGUGAAGGAACGCCUCGACAGCCGUGGAAGAAAGAAGUCAUCCCACCACGCGACAGCGCGCAUCCUAAGUAAAGGAAAAGCUGAAACAGGGGGAGGAGGUGCGGCAGGGAACCGGAAUUGGCAGACGCUGAGACGGCUUUCCAGUUUCAACGUGAUGGGUGCAGAUCAUGAAGGCUCCAGGGAAACAGAGACCAGGCCACGGCUUUCCAGGCAGAGUGCGUUCCCUCGGCAGGGCUGGACGGGACGGGAAGCCAGGCUAGAAGAGGUCGGGGGCCGGAGGCCCCUAGGAGACCCGAGUCCAGAGAACAUUCAGGGACAGAGGACACGCCCCCUGACCUCUGCUACACCCUCAUCCCCCAGGGGGACCACAGCUCUCCCCACGAGUCCAAAGUACGACCAAAUAAAUACAAGAUGAGGACGUAAGACCUUCCAGUGGCUUUUCUGUCCCCCGUGUCAGCAAGUCCGCGAGCAGACAGGAUGGGCACGUGGCCCCCACGUGCCUGGAGCUUCUGCCCGUCAACACGACGGGGGUAGAGCCUCCCGCCCCGCCGGGGACACGGGACGGGGCCCGGGCAGUGCCCCCCCGUGACUGGUCUAAUCCUGUGGCAAACCAACGCCUUUUCCUGAGUUGGUGCCUCUGCUACCCUUCUCUGGUUCAGCGCAUCCUCUCUUCCAGCGCAAGUCCAGCCUGGAAACUUCGCCUGUUUCUUUUCUCCUUGCCCCCACCCUUCUUAGAAAGAGGCGAUGCAAUUCUUCACAGACGCACGUCUUCAAACUACCUAGAGGUGUCCCCAGUUCUGUCUUCUAAGUCAGACGGUCGGGAGGGUAACCAGCCACGUGCUGGCUUCAGCACAGGGGCGCGGAGUGUGUGUGCCGGGCAGGGUCGGCCCCUCUACCUGCUCUGGGGCAGGCGGCCCCACCCUCGGCCUGUUCCCAACCUCUCCCCCCAAUUCCGGGUGCCCAGGAGACUUCCGGAGCAGCUCCCGAUGGAAAGAGGGCUGCCGUGUGGAGGAAGACGAGAUGCCGCUGUGGACACCGCGUGUCCACAGAGUACAUUCUAACAUCUUAGUGGGUGUCUGAAUCUUUUUAGGAAAAAAAAAAAUUAGAAACUGUAUAAAACUCAAAAAUAUUCAAGUAUCAAAAGGCUAUCCGAAUCAAAGUUUAAAACAAGCUGCCGCUACCACCAAGAGAGGAAAACCUUUACAAGAGUCUGUGGGGCGCGAGCGGCGAGGGGGCGCAGCCCAUCUGGGUGUCAGGGGUUUGGGGGGGCGCGGUGUGAUCAGGGGACUGGGAGGGCAGGGGGCAGACGCGCCAAGGGUCGGAGGAGGCCGGCGACCUUCUGGACGGUCCGCCCUCCCCCGACGAGCAGCGGCCAAGUGCGCAG
ensembl:lincRNA